CCCAAGAGUUUCUGUUACAGUAAAUCUGAAGUGGAGUCCCCAAUUCACAGUUCUAACAAGUUCCCAAGUGAUACUAGUAUAACCACUGCUCUAACAAACCAAGUAGCAUCAUAUAAAUAAAAUUUUAAACCUUAUAAGGGUCUUUUAAAAAUAAACUAAUUAUGCCUCUCUGAAAGAAUAUCAGACCGAAAAACAAACAAAAAAGGUGCUAUAUCGAAUACACAAGCAGAAGAGACUAGCCUGUUUUAUCAAUCUCGAACACUUCUGGCCUUCAGAAUUGUUUUCCUAUUUUAGUCAUUCCUCUUUACUUCCCAGAUAAAUCCACCUCCCUCAGUUAUUUGCCCUCACUCACAGAUUUCCUUUGCUGUCUUCAGGCUUGAGUGAUGACUCAACAAGUUACCCUAGCCUUGGGUUUUGGCUCCUAAAAUAAAUAGGUUAAACCUUCCACCAGGACCAAACUUUAAAGAAGCUAUCUCCAGAGCUCAAUGUUAAAGGAGUCUUCAAAAUUCCAAGUUUACCAUUUGGGAACUAAGUUGAGACACAACUGAUAAGUCCAUAAAACCCUAACUAAAUACAGUUGACCUUUGACUAAUGCAGGGGUCAACCCCCGCACAGCCAAAAAUCUGAGUGUAACUUUGCCAUAACCUUCAGUAUCUGGUUCCGCAUCUGCAGAUUCAAACAACCACGGACACUGUAAUACUGAAGCUAGUAUUUACUGAAAAAAUUCCACAUAAAUGUGGACGUACCCAAUUCAAAGCCAUGCUUUUGAAGAGUCAACUCUACUACUGUAUACUCAUUCAUGAUGGUUACUCAACUAUGUAGUAGUCAUCUGCUCAAUAAUUUUAACAUGAGGGACACAAUGGCUCUCACUUGGGAUAUGUAUCAUUUUAAAAUCUAAAUAUAUAGUGAAAGAUAUUUAAUUAGUAGAUGUGAAACUCAAAAUACAUGAUUACUUCAGUAUCACCAAAGCAAUUAAAAAAAAAUCAAUUGCUAUUAAGUCUUCUAUUAUUAUGCAAAAUGCAGAUUGAGUUUAAUAACUUGUUUGGGGAGAAAAUUAUCACAUUAAAUAUAUCGAAUAUAGAAACAUUAAUAUGUAGAAAAAAUUUACCUCUAAGAAUGAAGCAAACAAAAAUGGUAUUCAGUAGUACCUACUGCUUAGAUGAGAAAUACAAAGAUGAAAAAGGUGUUGCCUCUAGCUUCAAAAAACCUGUCAUUUAUUAAAACAGCAUAGGAAAAAAAUUACGAUUAAGUACUUAACUGUAAAGAUCUAAAUAUACACUAUGAAGUCAAGAAAAAGCAACUGUGAACUAGGGUAGCUAAGGAAUGUUUCACAGUCAAUAACUUGAGCUAUGACUUCAAAAUAGUUAAAACAUAAUUAAGCAGGAUUUGGAGACAGAGGAGGAGAAAUCCCAAAAAAGAUAUAAAGCAGGAAUGAAAGAAGGACCACAAAAUAUAAGGCAGACAGUGAAGUGCCUGCUGCACUGAAUGCUGGUGAACAGCAAGAAAUAAGACUGGAUAGAUCGAAGAGACUUGAUUACACAGGUCUUCAACACCUAACAGAAAUAUUCAGACAGGAUAUGGCAGCCAAGAUGAAAUUACUGGAGGUAUUUAGAAGGAAACUACAUUAAAAAUGAUGUUUUAGAAGACUUAUUUUGGUGGCAAUAUGCAGCAUAGUUCAGUGUGGGGAAGGGAAGGUCAGGGACACUGAUUAGCUAUUUUGCUGCUGUACUAAUCCAGGAAUGAGAUGCUAAAGCACCUAGCUAUGGUCCUGGCAGCAGAAAUAUGAAAAUAGGGAGUAACUUAAGUGACAGGGAAAAAUUGGUAACAUAUUAAAAUACUGGGCGUGGGAUGAGAGAGAAAAAUCAAAUAUGAAACCCGAACUGCAAGCCUGACAGGAUGAAGGAACAGCAGUAUAUAUUACCAAAAGAACUAGAGUAACUGGAAAGUAAAGCAAAUUGAGGUGGUUAGGCAUCAUGGCACAGAAGAAGGGUUAGUGUGAAAAGGCCAAGUUUAAGGUGACAGGGAUGGCAAUCUAUGCUCUGCUGAAUGAAUGAGUAGAUGUGGUUAGAGUUGUAUGGUCAGCCUCUCUAUUUCUUGACUUUAAGCAGGAAUGUAAAAAGAGAAAGAAUGAGAGGCCGAGAAAUAAGUUUUUGGAUAUUCACAAUUAAAGAGCAUGUAGACAUUAAUCAGAGGUAAGUUCCCUGAAGACAGUGAUCCUGCAUGCUUGCCCACUGAAUGCCCAAUGCCAGACAGAGUAGCUGAUACAAAGGCGACUCUCAAAAAAGAAGGAAUGAGAAUUUCCAAAGUGUGACAGAAUCAUAAUAAUAAGUAGAAAAGUUAGAGGCAAAAUGAAAAAUAAAAAUGGAAAAAAAAAAUCCACUGAGUUGGCAAGAAGAGCAGGAAGCCAGACCACAAGAGUUAAAAAGGACGAGACAGACAAAAGAUCUAAAGGACAGACAAUAGCUAAAGGGAAGAGAAGCAGGGUGAAUCAAGGGCAUUAUUUUACUUGCUUUGAUUUUUUUUUCAAACUAAAAAUAUUACUUGCUCAUUAAAAAAAAAAAUCAGGAGUUCCCGUCGUGGCGCAGUGGUUAACGAAUCAGACUAGGAACCAUGAGGUUGCGGGUUCGGUCCCUGGCCUUGCUCAUCAAGCAAAUUUUGUCCUAAGCUAUAUUCCUCUAAUUAGUCUCAUUACUGGCAAGGUUUACUGUCAUCAACAACUCUGUAUCUAAUUUCUCCCAGUAAGUGAACUGUUAAAUGUAUCUGGAUCAACACCCC
rnacentral:lncRNA from 1 species